AUCGAACGCUGGCGGCAUGCUUUACACAUGCAAGUCGAACGGUAACAGGCCGCAAGGUGCUGACGAGUGGCGAACGGGUGAGUAAUGCAUCGGAACGUGCCCAGUCGUGGGGGAUAACGCAGCGAAAGCUGCGCUAAUACCGCAUACGAUCUAUGGAUGAAAGCGGGGGACCGUAAGGCCUCGCGCGAUUGGAGCGGCCGAUGUCAGAUUAGGUAGUUGGUGGGGUAAAGGCUCACCAAGCCAACGAUCUGUAGCUGGUCUGAGAGGACGACCAGCCACACUGGGACUGAGACACGGCCCAGACUCCUACGGGAGGCAGCAGUGGGGAAUUUUGGACAAUGGGCGCAAGCCUGAUCCAGCAAUGCCGCGUGCAGGAAGAAGGCCUUCGGGUUGUAAACUGCUUUUGUACGGAACGAAAAGGCUCUGGAUAAUACCUGGGGCUCAUGACGGUACCGUAAGAAUAAGCACCGGCUAACUACGUGCCAGCAGCCGCCGUAAAAC
rnacentral:rRNA from 1 species